rnacentral:rRNA from 1 species
UACGUAGGGUGCGAGCGUUAAUCGGAAUUACUGGGCGUAAAGCGUGCGCAGGCGGUUUUGUAAGCCAGAUGUGAAAUCCCCGGGCCCAACCUGGGAAUGGCAUUUGGGACUGCAAGGCUUGAGUGCGGCAGAGGAGACUGGAAUUCCUGGUGUAGCAGUGAAAUGCGUAGAUAUCAGGAGGAAUACCGAUGGCGAAGGCAGGUCUCUGGGCUGACACUGACGCUCAUGCACGAAAGCGUGGGGAGCAAACAGG